CAACAGAAAUUUAUUUUCUCACUAUUCCGGAGGCUGGAAGUCCAAGAUCAAGGUGCUGGCAGACUUGGUUGCUUCGGAGCCCUCUCUCCUUGGCUUGCGGAUGGCUGCCUUCUCUCUGUGUCUUCACAUGGGUCUU
rnacentral:miRNA from 1 species